CCUAUCAAAGGAUGCGUAUCGAACCCGACACACCUCCUUUCCAAUGUCAUCGUUCACCGAACCUCCAGCCGGAUAAGAUAGGUGAUGAAUUAAACGGAAGGAGCCGGGCUCUUUCUUGGGGACUAAGCCCAGCGGCGACACGCGGAGAUUGUGAAAGGGGGGAAAGACAAAGGGGCCGGCCAUCCACCCCAGUCGAAUCUCCUUAUCCAAUUUGUCUUGUAACC